UACGGAGGGUGCGAGCGUUGUCCGGAAUCACUGGGCGUAAAGGGCGCGUAGGCGGUUCGAUAAGUCGGGUGUGAAAACUCUGGGCUCAACUCAGAGACGCCACCCGAUACUGUUGUGACUUGAGUCCGGUAGGGGAGUAUGGAAUUCCCGGUGUAGCGGUGAAAUGCGCAGAUAUCGGGAGGAACACCAGUGGCGAAGGCGGUACUCUGGGCCGGAACUGACGCUGAGGAGCGAAAGCGUGGGUAGCGAACAGG
rnacentral:rRNA from 1 species